UCCAUCGCGCAUCAGGUUGUCUCUACUUUCUACUGCUGGAGCACCAAGCUUGCUUGCCCAGAUUGGGUGCCCUUUGGUUCAUGGUUGAAAUCUGGUCAUUUAUUUUUCAUUUUCUUUGUUUUUCAGUUGCCUCUUCACAAAUUGCAAGCUGGACUGUUAAUCCAAGAAUUGAUGCCGUGUAUGCAUUCUUUUUUCUUGUUUAUUUUUCUAGAUUUACUUAUGCAGUUUGCUUACUCAUUUGCAGUUUACUUAUUAUUCUUCCAUAUUUGUCGAGAGAUAAGUACCCCAAGGAAGCUUGUAAUCUUCUCUUUAAAUUUCGUUCUUGACGUUCUUGAUAUUUCUACAAUCUACCUGAACUUUACUAAUACUUGGUAAGUAGAUCUUGGUAGCUUGUACUAAGAAACAAUAAUCAUAACACAGGACUAUGCUAUUCGCACUGUUCUACCCUAUUGUCCCUGUUUAACAGAUGCAGUUGAUUAAAACUCAGGAACUAUCUACAUGAACAGUAUACAAAUUUUACAUCAUUCCCCUACUCCAGUUAAAUAAAUAUCUAUAAUCUACUCAAGAUGCUUGAGCAAUUUUCAUGUCACAGGCCCUGCUCUAUUUUAAUUCAUAGUUGAAAAAUUGAACAACUAAGCUUCAAUUCAUGAAAUAAUUCACUUCCCUUUGGAUACUUGAUCACUGGAUGGUGCAGAUUAUGCAAAAUAUUAUGGUAAUACACUUGAAUAGAAUGUGCAUCAGUAGUUGUUAGGAUGGAUGGUGUAGUAUGAAAUUUGGAUGGAUAUCACCAACUUUGUAGGAGUUGCAUGAGCCAUCACAAUGAACUUCUGAGGAACAACCACAAGAUAUUUUUCGUGACCCUCUUUAAGAUCUUUGUUGAAAAUAUGUAGACUGUGAUUUUUAGAAUUGAUUGUAUCUGGUAGUAGACUCUUUUAUUGGACUACAUUUUUCCAUCCUUUAAUUUGUUAUAAACCUCUGAUGAAUGACUUCAGUUUCUUCCUGUCCUCAGUAAAUGUAAAUAAAAAAUUAAAAUAUUACUUUUACCUUCACUCAUCUUUGUUGUUAUUUAUUUCAUUUUUAUCUAAUAAAUAGUAUUAUUAAGAUCAUCAUUAUCAUCAUCAUGAUUCAUGACCUUGUAAUUAUCCCUAGUCCUGCAUCAAGCUAAAUUCUUUCUCAGUACCAGUUCUAGGAGAUUACAUAUAAAGAGCAUUAGCAAUUUGACUGGACUAGAAAGUCUAUUCCCAGUUCCAGCUAACCUCUUUUUUUCUUUGGUGGAAAACUUUAGCUAACCUGGGUUUUGGGAAGGGUGGACUGUAUACAGAGCUAGCCUUCAUCACUUUGGCAUGAAGUGGCCUCUCUCAGACUUUGAAUUCGCAUUCUCAUGUCUGUGAAAAAGGCCAUUACCAAAUGUCAGUCCCAGCUAUCCGGGGUCUUGGGAAGGGUGAACUGGAUAGAGACCUAACCUCCGUUGUUUUGGAACACAGUAGCCUUUUUCAUACUUGAAUCCAUAUUCUCAUGCUUGUAAAAAAGGCCAUUAUCCAUUGUUGGUCCAAGCUAUCUGGGGUCUUGGGAGGGGCAGACUGGAUAAAGACCUUACCUUUGGCAUUUUUUUUUUUUUGCAUUAAGUGGCUACUUUCAAACUCGAGUCUGUGUUCUCAUGCUUGUCAGCUUGAUAUUUUUCUAAAUGUAAUAUGUAUAUAAAGCAUGUAAUAAUUUUUGAAUCAUCUAAUGCUUAUCAAAUGCAUUUUACAACUUCAGUUUAACAUUAUUGGUCAGGAAUAUCUGACAAUGCAUCCAUUUUGUAGUUAAAAAAUUUCAUUGCUGCAUCAAGGCCAUGCUUUCCCCAGUGUUGUCUUAUCUAUUACAAGUUUGUCUGAGACUCCAAUCUCUUGAACGAUUUGUACAUUUGCAGUGGGCUGUUGCAACAAAUGUGGAUUUUUCACAUGCACAGCUGAUUCAAGUAAUCAAUCUACUUAACAUGGAUAUGACAAAUGGCAUUGGACAUGAAGCUUCUAGAUAUGUAGUUAUUGCUUUCACAGGGAAAUUACCACUGCAAACUUAAAUGGUCUUCCUAUUAUGUGGUUUUCCUUUCUUGGACAACUGACUGCUGCAUGAAAUGUUGCAGGUACAAUGGAAUGCCUUGGCCUUUUAACUUCCUUUUCAUCUUUAAGUGUCAGAACUUGAGUGGAGAAGGGUAGAGCUAUUUUCACUCACUAGUCACUUCAACAUGGACAGUAAUGAAGUCUGCAGGUACUGAAGUGGGCAGUUCAGUGAUGCGAAUCAUGAAGGCAAAGCUACAUUGAAUCUUAGCUCUCCGAUGAAGAAAGGCUGAGAUUAAAAGAAGAUAGUCAGGAACAAAACCAAGUGCACAAAUAUCGGUGCCACAUCUUUCAAUUUAGAAGAGAAGAUUAAAGAUUCACAAUGCUGUCUUUCAUCAGAAAUAAAUAGAGAAUCAAGGAGGAAUGCUUUAAGGAAAGAAUGACCACAAAUUAUUUAUUUAUCAAACAGAAGAAAUAGAAAGUUGCGUUAUAGAGCAUGAAUGCUCCUUUGAAGUUCGAAGCAAACAAGGAGAUGCAGAUUUUUGGCAAUGUAAUCAGUCUAGAAGGUUGAGAUCGAGACAAUCCUUUGGAAAAUCUGAAGUGGCAUGAGUUUUCUUUUGUUAGACAUGCAAUCAAAUCGUUGUGGGCUUAAUUUCCUUCA